AAAGUACUUUUUACUCCUUUCGAUCCUCAAAAUCACAAACACCCUCUAAACGACGCCGUUUUGCACCAACUACUGCCAAAAAUUUCCCUAAACCCUAGCUCAGAAUUCCCUUUCGCACUUCCAAGAAAAGGGAGCUUUUUCACACUCACCAUGUCCUCCGAAGACAUAGGUCUCGUACCCGACCAGAGGAUUGAAACCGGUCUCAGCUCCUCACUCGUUUUUCAAGACGAAACCUUGCGUUUCAGCUGCGGGGGACCGCAGCGUCGGGUCGGGGACCCGGGCCCGAAGACCCGGGAGCUUGGUGGGUUCAUCGAUGACAAGAUGUUCUCCAUGGAGCGCGACCGGUACUUCGCCGCACAGGGCUCUGAGUUCCGCCGGAGCGUCUACGGCGACUGCUCCGGCCGCCGUGAUCCGCCGGGCGCACGCAAUUGGAGUAGGAAUGGUGGCGCCAACACUCCAAGCGGCGACGAAUCCGACGGGGAUGAUGACGAAGAUGAUGACGAUGACGACGAUGACGACGAUGACGUCGAAGGUGAUGAAGGGCUUGUUGGUGUUGGUGAUGGAAGCAAGCGCAAUUCGAAUCCAAUUCUUGACAUUAACGGUAGCAACGGUAGCAACGGUGGUGGCGGUGGUAGUUUGGGUGGUGUUAGUGCUGCAGAGCGGAUGGCAAAUGGGAAAGGACAGCAUCAUUCGUCUUAUGUUUCUACUAGAGAAAUGUUUGGGAAGGAUGGUGAUAUGGGGCAGCUGGUGCAUAACAAUGCGAGUGGUACUGAUGAAGAUCAUCAUCAGAGAGAGAGAUUGGGUAAAUCACAGAGUGCUGUAACCAUUGCUGAAACUGAUUGUGAUGAGUACUAUUCACAUUAUCUUCAUGGCACGGAAGGAUCGGGUUCUGUGCAGAAAGUUAUGGUGGAUGAGAAUGGUUGUGGGUUUAGUGGAAGAAAGGAUGUUCUGUUUUCAAGCGAGUCAGGGGAGUCGUUGAGGGCAAUUCUUUCUGAUCCUGUCACAGGUGCACUUAUGGACGAUGCCAUGAUAUUACCUUGUGGGCAUUCAUUUGGUGGAGGUGGAAUACAGCAUGUUAUUAGAAUGGUGGGUUCUAAGCGAUCAAAUGCUGUAACUUUUGGACUUACCUUUUCUGUGACUAGUCAUCUGAAAAAUGUUUUUAACUAUGGAGCUGAAAGCUUGCUGCACCUGUUCUCAACCCACAUCCGAGGAAUCGAUAUCUCAAAACCUAUCACUUCGAGCUGCUGUGCAGGCAUAUCGGCGUGAAGAGGAGUCACAAUUUUACCGGUCAUCUAAAAGACGAAGAGAGAGAUUUGAUCAGGGUGGUUUUGGAGAUUCAGCUGUUGUAGAACCACCAAGGGGGAGAGGUGUUCAAUUUCCUUUUGCUGUGAUGGACCGUGUUAUCAUAAAGGGAAACAAGAGGACACCGCAACGCUUUGUUGGGCGUGAAGCUAUUGUAACAACACAAUGCCUUAAUGGAUGGUAUGUGGUGAAGACACUGGACAAUGCAGAGAGUGUGAAAUUACAGUAUCGGUCCCUUGCUAAGGUUUUGGAUGAUUCUUCAAAACCUUCCUCUACCAAGAUGCCACCUAAUUGGCGUUAGUUCUGAGCCAUCAAACGUAGCUGAUCAUACUUCUCUACCAACAUGAUUGUGCUUUUGAAAUCCCAGUGUUAGUGUUCCUUGUUGCAAUAAAACCGUGGUAGCAACAGAUCGUGUAAAUAUAGAAAGCCUUGUGCUUUGUGUUCCUUAAUAUUUAUGAUUGUAUUUAAUGUAAUCAUUUUGUUAUACAUAGAUAAUAUUAGAUACACUAACAGAUUUAUAGUAAAAAAUGAAUAUGAUUAUUUGGUUUCAGUUUA